AAGUCGUAACAAGGUUUCCGUAGGUGAACCUGCGGAAGGAUCAUUACAGAGUGAGGCGCAAGCCUAAACUCCCCACCCUUUUUUACUUGUUGCUUUGGCAGAUGCAAGUCUGCCAGGCCUACAAACUCUGUGUUUUGUUGUCUGAGUGUGGCUUUGAAUAUUAAAACUUUCAACAAUGGAUCUCUUGGCUCUG
rnacentral:misc_RNA from 1 species